CAAAAAAUAGUUUAAAAUAAAACAAUAAUUUUGGAGAUUAAUAAUAAAAAUUUUUUUUUUUUUGA
rnacentral:tRNA from 1 species